GCAAGGAGAGCAGCCCCUCAAAGCUGCUGUCGGGCACCACGGAGAUGAGGAAGAAGCAUUUCCUGCCCUGGCUGGCCUGACCUGUGUGGACAAAUCUGGAGAUUUGUACCUGGUUAAGAACUGCAGUCAAAGCUUCUUGAGUUCUCCUUCAGAAAAAUAUCCUUUAAAUGCAGAGUACAAGCACUGGUGCAACAUCACCUUAGCCUGGAAUGAUAACUCAGGUGUGCUCCAGAGAGUGGAGACCAGAGCUCAGGCAGACUCCUCCAUGGGGCAAAAGGGAGACUUUCUGCUGCUUACAAUGAGCUGGACCUGAGAAGUCAGAAUCAGCAGCCUGCUUGGACCACAGCACAGUGAGAUGCACCUAUCUGGAUACAGGGACUACAGGGGUAGUGAGAGAGGGAGCUGCCUGGAAGAACAUCCAAAGUCCACUCGUCUGAGGCAUCUUUUUCCCUGAGCAGAUGUUCACAUCUGUGCAGAGCCAUGGUGAGAGGAGCAGGUCAGCACCAAAUUUUCUGCAGGAAGAGCACUGGAUCCCAGCUGGCCACUGACCCAACUUUGGAGACACCUGGGAAAUACACCCUGGAUGAGGUGGCCUCCAAGUGAAUUAGGAGCAGGGGCUGUGGGCUGAGGAGCUGGACCAUGUGGACCUCCCAGCACUGGCCCAGGUCGCCACCCAUCAGUGGUGAAUGUCCCAGGACUGGUGGCCAGAGCUGCCGUGGUGGCUGUGCUGGCAGCUGAACCUCCAGAAACUGAGGCUGGCUCUCUGCAGCCCUGGGCCCUGGUGGCACUGGCUGUCACACACUUGAAAGGCAUAGGAGAGACAGGCUGAGGGGGAAGGGGUGUUCCUGGGGCAGUGACCUUCCCUGUCACACCUGCCUUGAAAGAGAAGUCACCUGGAGAACAACCUCAUCUCAAAAUCCCUGGAGUGAGGGGUCUUGACUCUGGCACUGGUGACGAUGCCAACACAAUUUAAUAAUAACCACAACCAUGUGCCAAUGAUGUUUCAACAACAAAUGUUUCAAAUCUCUUCUGGCAGAAAGAACAUUCAUAUCCUGCACAGCAAACACCCCCACUACAAAUUCAUAUUUAAAUUAAUAUUUACAGAAACUCCUACUGGGUACUGGGAGGGCCACACAUGGAGAACUGUGCCCAGUUUUGGGGUGCCCAUUGUAAGAAGGAUGAAGUGGAAUGAGACAGGUCCAGUGGAGGGCUGGUGGCUGACUCAGGGUCCCAGGGCAUUUUCCCCAUGAGCAGAGGUGAAAGGAGCAGGGUUGGUUUCACUCAGCAGAGAAGGGGCUGAGAGGAGAACUGCCAGGGACCUGCAACCAAGGAUGAUGGAGCCAAGCCCUUCAGGGUGGUUCCAGAUGAUCAGACAAAGAGUAAUGACCACAAAUUGCCUUCCAGGAGUUUUAGGUUGGAUUUGAGAACAGCCCCAGGCUAUCAGUGAGAGGGGAAUAUCUGUGCUUGGAUAGACAAAGCUGCAACUGCCCCCCUGAGUAUUUGGGAUAGUCCUGCUCCAAGCAGGGGACUCCCAGAAACUGCUCCCAGCUAAACCCAGCUUAUCCCUAUGAUAAAAGGGCUGUGUAAGACUAGGAUUGAAGUUAAGGAUUAAGGGAUAAGGUCAGAUUUUCAGCCCAAAUCAGAAUGCUCUUACAAGCUUCAGCUGUGCUCUCUGCACCAAACACACCUUCCCUAAAUUCACUGGCACUCCCAGGGUCUGGUCUCAACUGUGCUCAUACUCAGCAAAACAGUAAAAUUCCAAAGUCGUGUGAUUUUUAGGGAACACAGGAGCACAAACCUGCUGUGGGUAUAGUUCCUUUAGAGGAAAAGCACAGCCACAGCCUCAGCUUCUUCCCAGGGCUGAAUCACUAAAAGUCUUUACAGCAGUUCUACCCUGACACAAUUAUCCUCCAUUUGGGUCAAACAGCCCAGCUUGCACUUUGACAGCCCAGAGUGUCCUCUGUGCUUGCUGGCAGGUCCCUUCCCCACUGUGGUCCUCUGCAGAGGACAGACACUCUUUGGGUGGAUAUUUUCCAAUGUUCCUUGAAAUAUGCAUUGGCUCUGGUGGCCUUUUCAUCACAAUGCACACAUGGGGAGCCGUAAUUUCAACAUCCUCUACCAAGACAGUGUUUCUUCCUUGAAAACUGCCCUCCCCUCCCUUCCACUCUAAGUGACAGUAAUCUUUGCAUAAAUUGGAAAAGAAAAGGAAGAAGGAACAGAACAUCCUUGUCAAAGGAACUAAUGACUCAAAUGCUGGGAAGCCUGGGGUCCCCAAGGGACUGUGCAGCUCUCAGCAUUGAUUUUUAAUG